UUCAGACUACUCCCAGACAGUCCUAGCAACAUUCUUGCAUGAGAAAAUGCUAUUUGCGAAUAAUACGUUUCUUUCUUUUUCUUUUUACAAUUUUAAUUUAAAACACUUGCGAAACGGCUCCAACACCUGCCCUCCGGUGACACCUUGGCGCUGAGCCGUAGGAAAACGGUAUGAUUACACACGAGACUUCUACCGUCACCUGGGCAUAACGGGGCACGCAACCUGACUCUCUGCAUGUGCCCUUUUAUGAAGUUGUUCCCGUUACAUUCAGAAACAUUUUUUUACCAGGAAGUAUUUACCUGGAUAGCAUGCACGCUGGAAGAACUAAGCUAACUUCAAAGUAGCAUAACUUUCGUUCAGGUUGGACUAUUUUAUGCGAAGUUCAAGAUGCUCAUUUGAAAAUGUGGACUGAAUGGAGCUAAAAUAUCCGGUAAUGGCGUAUCGAUAAUGACGACCGUCCUAUCCUGUAACAGAAGUGGUCAACUACGUUGAAAUUGGAUGCAUUUGUAUUUGUGUGGGGAAAUGAUCUAGCACAGCCUUCUUUCUAUACUUUCACCCCGAUCGUCAUGAACUCUGAAAAGCCCCGUUUUCUAUCGCAACCUGUCGUGAAGAACAUUUUCGUGUAUCGAAAUGGAGAUCCGUUUUACGAGGCUCGCCGGUUAGUGGUAAACCAAAAGAGAGUGUCCAAUUUUGAUACUUUUCUUCGAGAUGUGACCGGGGGUGUUCAGGCUCCGUUUGGAGCGGUUCGGAACAUCUACACCCCUCGAAUGGGCCAUCGGGUGGCCUGCCUGGACCAUCUACAGAGCGGGGAACAAUAUGUCGCUGCCGGGAGAGAGAAAUUCAAGAAAUUGGAUUAUUCACAGAUAGGAUCCAAAAAGAAGAGGAUGCUCCUUACUUCUUCAGGACAG